rfam:Hordeum vulgare subsp. vulgare, WGS project CAJW01000000 data, contig: morex_contig_1561066
AUAAUACUCCCUCCGUCCCAAAAUUCUUGUCUUAGGUUUGUUUCGAUAUGAAUGUAUCUAGUCGAUACAUCCAUUUCUAGACAAAUCUAAAACAAGAAUUUUAAGACGGAGGCAGUAUGAA